GGGGAGGUAAGGGGUGAGUGGAUGGAGGACGGAGGACACUGGGGAGCAGUGAAGCUCUUCUGCAUGAUACUGUAAUGGCAGAUACACGUCACUCUCCAUUUAUCCAAAGCCACAGAAUCACCACACCAACAGUGAAUGUUUAUGUCAACUACUGACUUUAUAAUAAUGGGUCAAUAUUGGUUCCCCAAUUGCAACAAAUGUGCCACAGAUGCAAGAUGUUAGUCACAGAGAAAACUGUGUGUGUGUUUGGGAAGGUGAGAUAUGGUCACUCCGCACUUUCUGUUCCGUUUUGCAGUGAACCUAAAACCGCUCCAAGGAAUCGUCUAAUCAUUGAUUUAAAAAAAAAAAAAAAAGGAAAUUUGCGUGCACCACACGCCGGCUUCGAAUCCUCAACCGAUUUCAUUGCUGACAACAGUGUUCCUUUGGUUGCGCUGAUACAGAGCCUUUGAAAAUAUUCCCAUGGGUUCCUGGUGUUGGUUAAAACGCCUUUUAUUCCAACGCUGUGGAAAUAGUACAGACACAAAACCAGGGUGGGUUCCUAGGCUGACAGCUCUGAUACAACCCCAGAGCCAAACCAAGCUGACAAAUCUCACAGAGUCGCAAAAGCAAGGCGAUGCCUGUGGACAGCAUCAGUGUGGUGAGUGACAUCGUGCUGGGUCCAAGGUGCUGUCUGUGUGGCAGGUGAGGGACUGACGGAUGGCUUGGGUGCCAUUUCUUUGACAUGGGGCAUUCUGUGCCACACUGGCCGCUUUCUCUUUUUUCAGCCUGGGAAUCUUCCCUGAAAUUGCGAUGCCAGUGGGCCUUCCCCAGUGGAUGCGACUUUCAUCUCCAUGCUGCGUUCUCAUCCCUGCUCACAACCCACAGUGUUCCAGGAGGCUUCAGCGUGAGCUCGGAGAUGAGUUUGUAUCUGGAAGGAAACAAGGAUUCAUCAGCGAAUUGGAUUUCUAGCUGCUGCAGGUACUGGGGAGCCAUGGGAGGUUUCAGAGUCAAGAAGUACUGGAUGAAAGGCUGUCUCUGUCACUCUUGGAAGCCCUUGACUUUUCAGGUUCUUUGUCUUCACAGCACUGACUGUUGGCUGUGUAUGCCUCCGGUCCCAAGC
rnacentral:lncRNA from 1 species